GAUGAAGAACGCAGCGAAAUGCGAUAAGUAAUGCGAAUUGCAGAAUUCCAGUGAGUCAUCGAAUCUUUGAACGCACAUUGCGCCCUUUGGUAUUCCGAAGGGCAUGCCUGUUCGAGCGUCAUUAUCACCCCCCAAGCCCUCGGCUUGGUGUUGGACGGUUUGGUGGAGGCCCCCUCGGGGGCUCCUGCCCCUCCCAAAGACAAUGACGGCGGCCUCGUUGGACCCCCGGUACACUGAGUUCUUCACGGGACACGUAUCGGACACAUGGGUUUACGGGACACGGUCUGCCUCCCCUCAGGGAGAAUCUUUCUAAGGUUGACCUCGGAUCAGGUAGGGAUACCCGCUGAACUUAAGCAUAUCAAUAACGGAGGA
rnacentral:misc_RNA from 1 species